GAUGAACGCUGGCGGCGUGCCUAACACAUGCAAGUCGAACGAACAAUGUAUACGGUAACCUUCGGGCGGAUGCCUUCAUUUCUAGUGGCGGACGGGUGAGUAACGCGUGGGUAACCUGCCUCCUACAGGGGGCUAAUAGUUGCAAACGCCUGUUAAUCCUGCAUAAGAUCAUUCCAUCGCAUUAUCCGGAGAUAAAAACCCCGGUGGUUAGAGAUGGACCCUCGUUCGAUUUGCCUGUUGGCGGGGUAACGGCCCACCAAAGCGACGACCGAUAGCCGAUAUGAGAGGAUGACCCGCCACAUUGGGACUGGGACACGGCGCGAACUCCUGCGGGAGGCAGCAAUGGGGAAUAUUGCACAAUGGGGGAAACCAUGAUGCAGCGAGGCCGCGUGAGUGAAGAAGUACUUCAGUAUGUAAAGCUCUAUCAGCAGGGAAGAAAAUGACGGUACCUGAGUAAGAAGCCCCGGCUAACUACGUG
rnacentral:rRNA from 1 species